GACGAACGCUGGCGGCGUGCUUAACACAUGCAAGUCGAACGGUGAAGCGCCUUCCUUUUUGGUGGGUGUGGAUGAGUGGCGAACGGGUGAGUAACACGUGAGUAACCUGCCCCCUUCUUCUGGAUAACCGCAUGAAAGUGUGGCUAAUACGGGAUAUUCUGGGUCUGUCGCAUGAUGGGUCUGGGAAAGAUAUUGUUUCGGUGGGGGAUGGGCUCGCGGCCUAUCAGCUGGUUGGUGGGGUGAUGGCCUACCAAGGCGGUGACGGGUAGCCGGCCUGGGAGGGUGGACGGUCACACUGGGACUGAGACACGGCCCAGACUCCUACGGGAGGCAGCAGUGGGGAAUAUUGCACAAUGGGCGCAAGCCUGAUGCAGCGACGCCGCGUGAGGGAUGGAGGCCUUCGGGUUGUGAACCUCUUUCGCCAGUGAAGCAGGCCUGCCUCGUUUGUGGGUGGGUUGACGGUAGCUGGAUAAGAAGCGCCGGCUAACUACGUG
rnacentral:rRNA from 1 species